CAAGCUCGUAGCAGUGCACGCGCCCAGCUUCGUGAGCAUAACCCACUUGCUUUUGAUAACUACAUACGAUGGCUUCUUGAAAAUACUCGAGUUGAGAUAUGCCCGUCGGCAUAUAAUGAGGAUAUUCUUGAAGAACCCGUAAACUUUGAGGAUCUAUCAAAGGGGAAGUACAACAGAGAUGUCAGGGUAGGGCAAGGAGUCCCUGCUGUUCCGGUGAUUAACUAUGUGCGCACCGAGAUCAAGAAAGCAGCUGAUGAGAGCCAGUCUAUUCUCGAGAACACACCGGUUGGAAAAGGCAAUGAUGAUGGUUCACUACGAGCAUUCCUCAAGGUAUGA
rnacentral:rRNA from 1 species